UAAAUUUGUUGUCAAGUAGACUGUCUCCAGGCAUGUAAACAUCCUACACUCUCAGCUGUGUUGUUAUGGAGCUGGGAGAGGGGU
ensembl:miRNA microRNA 30c-1